rnacentral:rRNA from 1 species
GAUGAACGCUGGCGGCGUGCCUAAUACAUGCAAGUCGAACGAGGUGCUUUUGUAGCAAUACGAGAGUAUCCUAGUGGCGAACGGGUGAGUAACGCGUUGGUGACCUACCCCAAAGUGUGGGAUAACAGUCCGAAAGGAUUGCUAAUACCGCAUGUGGUCAUUGGAUUUAGAAACUGAUGACUAAAGGAGCAAUUCGCUUUGGGAGGGACCUGCGUCCCAUCAGCUAGUUGGUGAGGUAACGGCUCACCAAGGCGACGAAGGGUAGGGGACCUGAGAGGGUGGCCCCCCACAAUGGAACUGAAACACGGUCCAUACACCUACGGGUGGCAGCAGUAGGGAAUAUUGCUCAAUGGGCGAAAGCCUGAAGCAGCAACGCCGCGUGUGCGAUGAAGGCCUUCGGGUCGUAAAGCACUUUUCUGCGAGAUGAGAAAGGACAGUAUCGUAGGAAUAAGUCUCGGCUAACUACGUGCCAGCAGCCGCAGUAACAC